UACGGAGGGGGCGAGCGUUGUCCGAAGUUACUGGGCGUAAAGCGCACGUAGGCGGCUCUUUAAGUCGGGGGUGAAAUCCUGGAGCUCAACUCCAGAACUGCCUUCGAUACUGGAGAGCUUGAGUUCGGGAGAGGUGAGUGGAACUGCGAGUGUAGAGGUGAAAUUCGUAGAUAUUCGCAAGAACACCAGUGGCGAAGGCGGCUCACUGGCCCGAUACUGACGCUGAGGUGCGAAAGCGUGGGGAGCAAACAGG
rnacentral:rRNA from 1 species